ensembl:misc_RNA
CCAUCGUGAUGGCUGUGCCUGCCGGUUGCAUGGAGCCUCAUUCAGGAUUUCCUGAGCCUCUUGGAUUUACAGUGAUACUCAGCUGCGGGGAG